GACGAACGCUGGCGGCGUGCUUAACACAUGCAAGUCGAACGAAGUGGCGAACGGGUGAGUAACGCGUAAUCAACCUGCCCUUCAGAGGGGGACAACAGUUGGAAACGACUGCUAAUACCGCAUACUGAAGGAGGGGAUUUCUUCUGAUUAGCUAGUGGGAGGGGUAACGGCCCACCAAGGCGAUGAUCAGUAGCUGGUCGUAGAGGAGUAAUGGCCACAUUGGGACUGAGACACGGCCCAGACUCCUACGGGAGGCAGCAGUGGGGAAGCUUCCGCAAUGGACGAAAGUCUGACGGAGCAACGCCGCGUGAGUGAGGACGGCCUUCGGGUUGGAAAGCUCUGUUAAUCGGGACGCGGUACCGGAAUAGAAAGCCACGGCUAACUACGUGCCAGCAGCCGCGGUAAUUC
rnacentral:rRNA from 1 species